rnacentral:snRNA from 1 species
GGUCCCUUCAGCAGCACAUAACACUAAAAUUGGAAUGAUGCAGAGAUUAUUGGCCUCUGCACAAAAGUGACACACAAAUUUAUGAAGUAUUCCAUAUUUGG